AUAUUACUCAGCGGAGGAAAAGAAAACAACCGUGAUUCCCUCAGUCAGCGGCGAGCGAAGAGGGACCGAACUCGUUGCCGAAUCGGGCCUCAACGGCCUUGAGUUGUGGCAGACGGCGGUCGGUGGAUGGUGCGGGACUGGCGAAAUUCAAUGUGCAAAGCAAACCCUGCUGAACACAACCCUUCAUGUGAGUAUUGAGCCAUAGAAGGUGGUAGCCCAUUGAGCCAGGAACCCGAGCGCCUCAUUGGCCGUCCUCGAGCGAGUAGCACUGCUUGGGAAUGCAGUGUCAAGCGGCAGGUAUUUGUCUGCCAAGGUUAAACACAGAGUGGGAAGACCGAUAUCGAACAAGUAGCGUGAGCGAAAGUUUGAAAAGCACUUUGGAAAGAGAGUGACAUAGAACCUGAAGUCGUGACAAUGACAAUGGAAGUACCUCCAUUUCCCUGGCCAAAGCCC
rnacentral:rRNA from 1 species